rnacentral:ribozyme from 1 species
AAAAUCCUCUCUCAUUUCACGGGAUUCUCGAGAGGUUACGAGAAGUAGUAGUAGAAGGGAAAACAAAGAAGAAAGUGGGUUCCCGGCAAAACGAAAUCGGCAUCGUUCUCAUCAUCUCAUCAUCAUCUUAUCAUCUCAAAUUAACAAAAUAAC